rnacentral:rRNA from 1 species
UACGUAGGGUGCAAGCGUUGUCCGGAAUUAUUGGGCGUAAAGAGCUCGUAGGCGGCUUGUCACGUCGACUGUGAAAACCCCGGGGCUCAACUCCGGGCCUGCAGUCGAUACGGGCUGGGCUUGAGUGCGGUAGGGGGAGACUGGAAAUUCCUGGUGUAGCGGUGAAAUGCGCAGAUAUCAGGAGGAACACCGGUGGCGAAGGCGGGUCUCUGGGCCGUAACUGACGCUCAUGCACGACAGCGUGGGGAUCAAACAGG